rnacentral:rRNA from 1 species
GCGGCCAUAUCUAGCAGAAAGCACCGUUCCCCGUUCGAUCAACCGUAGUUAAGCUGCUAAGAGCAAUACCUAGUAGUGUAGUGGGAGACCAUACGCGAAACUAUUGUGCUGCAAUCU